ACAGUGACAUGGUGGCCUAAUGGUAAGUGUGUUGGACUCCGGAUUGGGUGGUUCGGGUUCAAGCCCAGGUUCACUGUU